CCCCCACUCUUUCCCUCUCUUAUGUGUCUCCCAAUCCCCAGAAAUCCCUUUUUUUUUCUCAACUCUCCACUCAUUUGCCGCCACCUCAUAUAUCAUUCCAUCAUCUCUCUCUCUCUCAUCUCUCAGCUCCAUUUCACCUCUCUCUUUCUACAUGUGCAGAAAGCCACGCCACACCGUACCACCCUCGUUGGAACGACAAGCAUCGCCAUACCACUUCAUCACUCCGUCGAUCCAUCUGAGUACUGAACCACCACCACAGUACCAAUUACCAACCUUCAUUCAAGACUGAGUUAUCUGGGCGUGUACGAAUCGAGGAAAAGUUUGUAUUGGUUUGAUUUUUCUGGCAAGUUUCUUUCGUCAACGACCAAGUUGGGUAUGCAGAACCACGUUAGGGAGGAACUUCCUAGAUUUUUCGGUGGCUUUCGAGUCGUUUUUUGGCCAACUUCGGCCACGGUCAAGGAAACCAAAGGUUUUAGUGCUGAGCUUUCGUGUUGACGAGGAUUCUUGGCAAAUCUCUGUAAAUGUGGCUACCUUUGAUGGUAUAAUUCUCAUCAUACUUUACUGUACUUUACUUAUGCUCUGACAUUACGUGUGAAAUAGGUUCAUUUCCGCUCACAAAUGCACUCUUGUGUUUAGGCACUUUAGGUUUAAAUUUAUUAACAUUUUUCACAGCACUACACUUUAUGGCUUCGUCACCUACCUGGUGUUGGCUAACACAACUCGAUUCAGAGUCUAGGUGGACAUUCCAGGUUGAGGUGUGUCACUAGUUGGAUAUUACAUACCAGCCCUAAGUGAACAACCACAUAAUUAACAGUAUUUACAACAAAAAUGAAAUUAUAAAAGAAA